rnacentral:lncRNA from 1 species
UGACCAAAUAAAAUAAUGUUUAAAAAAAUAAAAUAAAAAAUAAAAUAAAAUAUAAUUAUAAUUUUAAAAAAAGGAGAAAGAAACUAAGAUGGGUGAAUUUCAUAAUCUGUACUUCAGAGCUGAGAGUGAAGUGGGUGACAGACCAGAAAGAAGAUGUCAUAAUACCCUUUCCUAACUAAAGAAAAAGCAUCAUAAAAAUGAUGCAGACAGUGCUUGGUACCUGGCCAUCAUGUUGUCCUUUGAGUUUCAGUUCACUUUUAAGCCACAGGGAAAGAGAAUAUUAAAGAAGCUUUCCUGCUGGGACCAUGGAAAGAAACCCAAGGGCUUAAAAUGAGGGAAAACAGUCUGGAAGACAGGAAUAGAUAUUAUCCUAGCUAUAACCAAUUAGAGUUAGCAAAUCAUUAAAAACUCCUUUGGCAAACUCUAACACCUACAGCCUCAAGCAGCCAGGAUUUCAAAAAAAAUAAAUAAAUAAAAGUCAGACGAAUGGCUCUCAGUAGUUCUGCACAGGGCUGACCUUAAGAGGACGUAUCCUGUUGAUCUACAUGUUUUCAAAGCAUUGGAGAAUCUGCCAUUUGAAUUCAUGAAAAUGAGUCUUCCUGAGUCCAGGGUCAGAGCUCUAGCCACUGUGUCACCUAGCUUCCUCCAGAUCUUUCUCACAGGAGCUGAAAACAACUCAGGGAUAAAAAUCUAAUUCAUCUUCAUUGACCUCUGAGAAGAUUUCUGAAAAAUAUAAUCACAACACCUCCAUUAGGUAGACAAGAAAAAAGUAUUAUCAUCUAACAAAUGAAACAGUAGAGCAUUAAAGUGACU